GUGUCCCUUUGGCAGCCACUAUUCUAAAAUUGGAAUGAUACAGAGAAGAUUAGGCAUGGCCCUGCACAAGGAUGGCAUGCAAAUUCGUGAGCGUUCCAUAUUUUU
rnacentral:snRNA from 14 species